GUCCCCCACUUCCCCGGCUCUGCGGAUAUGGCCGCCUCCCGCCUCCCCCCGGGCGCGCUGACACUGAAGCAGUUCCUGAGAAGGCAGCAAGUCCUCCUCCUCUACAGAAGGAUUUUGCAAGCAAUUCGGCAAGUUCCAGAUGCAUCUGACCGCAAAUACCUGAAGAACUGGGCAAGAGAAGAAUUCAAAAGAAAUAAGAGCGCCACAGAAGAGUGGCCUCCAGUUGGUUCUCCAGCUUAUUGAUUAGAGGUUCACAUCGACAACCAUUUAUUGGUGCCUAAGAGGGAAAACAAGAAGUAAUCAAACUACACUUCAUUCUUUCCACCAAUGCUUUAAGCAGCCACUAUGUGCCUGGCAGAGUAUCAGGAGAUAUAGGCAAUGGAGGACACACCCAUCCUGUCCUCACUUGAAAUGACCUACAGCCUGCGCUUUGGACCCAAUAGGCACUAAAAACAUUCCGAGGCUUCGCCCACGACUGAAGCGCAACACCUAUGGGAGGCAAAGGGUGUUGUUACAGCCCCUGGUAUGUGCAGCGCUGGUGAGAAGGCAUCAUUUCUGGGUCUGGUGCUCUGACUGUGGGAACUACAGCCACGGGGAGGAUGCCAAGCAUUCACAGAAAAUGAGCGGUUCUGUGCCCACCGUGCCUCUAGGUCUUGGCUGCACACUCCAGGAACCCAAAGAUGUGCAGGACACUGUCCCUGACCUCAAGAAGCUUGGGUUCUAUGAUGACAACAGUGACACAAGCAUUUACAUGCUGAGCUAGAAUGGCCAAGUAGGUGCACACCAGGGACACCAUCAUGUACGUCAGGACCCGAACGAGGUUCCCUGGCAUUGUGCAGUGUGGCAGCUCAGAGGAGGGCAGGGCCUCGACCUUGGUACUCCGGGCCUGUCAGGUAUUCCCUUCCCUAACCUGUGUGCAAGUCCUAUUCACUGCGACCCAAACAUUACUGAGGCACAUCCUCGAGCCACCAUUCCAACUGGGGCUUUCUAAAGGAACAUUUAGUCUGUGACAACAUGACCUUUCUGUACUCUACCUUCCCAAACGUAAAGCUGGAAGGCGGGCGUGGUGGAGUAUGCCUGUAAUCCCUGUACUCAAGAGGCAGAGGCAGGGAGACUGCUCCAAGGUCAAGGC